rnacentral:rRNA from 1 species
UAGUCCACGCCGUAAACGAUGUCUACUUGGAGGUUGUGGCCUUGAGCCGUGGCUUUCGGAGCUAACGCGUUAAGUAGACCGCCUGGGGAGUACGGUCGCAAGAUUAAAACUCAAAUGAAUUGACGGGGGCCCGCACAAGCGGUGGAGCAUGUGGUUUAAUUCGAUGCAACGCGAAGAACCUUACCUACUCUUGACAUCCGGAGAAGCCAGUAGAGAUACAGGUGUGCCUUCGGGAGCUCUGAGACAGGUGCUGCAUGGCUGUCGUCAGCUCGUGUUGUGAAAUGUUGGGUUAAGUCCCGCAACGAGCGCAACCCUUAUCCUUGUUUGCCAGCACGUAAUGGUGGGAACUCCAGGGAGACUGCCGGUGAUAAACCGGAGGAAGGUGGGGACGACGUCAAGUCAUCAUGGCCCUUACGAGUAGGGCUACACACGUGCUACAAUGGCCGUGACAAAGAGUUGCUACUUUGUGAAAACAAGCUAAUCUCAUAAACGCGGCCUCAGUUCGGAUUGC